rnacentral:rRNA from 1 species
UCUGUAGCAAGGUUAACCGAAUAGGGGAGUCGAAGGGAAACCGAGUCUUAACUGGGCGUUAAGUUGCAGGGUAUAGACCCGAAACCCGGUGAUCUAGCCAUGGGCAGGUUGAAGGUUGGGUAACACUAACUGGAGGACCGAACCGACUAAUGUUGAAAAAUUAGCGGAUGACUUGUGGCUGGGGGUGAAAGGCCAAUCAAACCGGGAGAUAGCUGGUUCUCCCCGAAAGCUAUUUAGGUAGCGCCUCGUGAAUUCAUCUCCGGGGGUAGAGCACUGUUUCGGCAAGGGGGUCAUCCCGACUUACCAACCCGAUGCAAACUGCGAAUACCGGAGAAUGUUAUCACGGGAGACACACGGCGGGUGCUAACGUCCGUCGUGAAGAGGGAAACAACCCAGACCGCCAGCUAAGGUCCCAAAGUCAUGGUUAAGUGGGAAACGAUGUGGGAAGGCCCAGACAGCCAGGAUGUUGGCUUAGAAGCAGCCAUCAUUUAAAGAAAGCGUAAUAGCUCACUGGUCGAGUCGGCCUGCGCGGAAGAUGUAACGGGGCUAAACCAUGCAC